GACGAACGCUGGCGGCGUGCCUAAUACAUGCAAGUAGAACGCUGAAGGAGGAGCUUGCUUCUCUGGAUGAGUUGCGAACGGGUGAGUAACGCGUAGGUAACCUGCCUGGUAGUGGGGGAUAACUAUUGGAAACGAUAGCUAAUACCGCAUAAUAGCAGUUGUUGCAUGAUAACUGUUUGAAAGGUGCAAUUGCACCGCUACCAGAUGGACCUGCGUUGUAUUAGCUAGUUGGUGGGGUAACGGCUCACCAAGGCGACGAUACAUAGCCGACCUGAGAGGGUGAUCGGCCACACUGAGACUGAGACACGGCCCAGACUCCUACGGGAGGCAGCAGGAGGGAAUCUUCGGCAAUGGACGGAAGUCUGACCGAGCAACGCCGCGUGAGUGAAGAAGGUUUUCGGAUCGUAAAGCUCUGUUGUAAGAGAAGAACGAGUGUGAGAGUGGAAAGUUCACACUGUGACGGUAUCUUACCAGAAAGGGACGGCUAACUACGUG
rnacentral:rRNA from 1 species